rnacentral:rRNA from 1 species
CCUACGGGGGGCAGCAGUGGGGAAUAUUGGACAAUGGGGGCAACCCUGAUCCAGCCAUGCCGCGUGUGUGAAGAAGGCCCUCGGGUUGUAAAGCACUUUCAGUGAGGAAGAACGCCUGGUGGUUAAUACCCAUCAGGAAAGACAUCACUCACAGAAGAAGCACCGGCUAACUCCGUGCCAGCAGCCGCGGUAAUACGGAGGGUGCGAGCGUUAAUCGGAAUUACUGGGCGUAAAGCGCGCGUAGGUGGCUUGAUAAGCCGGUUGUGAAAGCCCCGGGCUCAACCUGGGAACGGCAUCCGGAACUGUCAAGCUAGGGUGCAGGAGAGGAAGGUAGAAUUCCCGGUGUAGCGGUGAAAUGCGUAGAGAUCGGGAGGAAUACCAGUGGCGAAGGCGGCCUUCUGGACUGACACUGACACUGAGGUGCGAAAGCGUGGGUAGCAAACAGGAUUAGAUACCCGAGUAGUC